GUGAAGCCCCAGCUUGGCUGGGUGGAUCAGUGGCGAACGGGUGAGUAACACGUGAGCAACCUGCCCUGGACUCUGGGAUAAGCGCUGGAAACGGCGUCUAAUACUGGAUAUGAACCACGAAGGCAUCUUCAGUGGUUGGAAAGAUUUUUCGGUCUGGGAUGGGCUCGCGGCCUAUCAGCUUGUUGGUGAGGUAAUGGCUCACCAAGGCGUCGACGGGUAGCCGGCCUGAGAGGGUGACCGGCCACACUGGGACUGAGACACGGCCCAGACUCCUACGGGAGGCAGCAGUGGGGAAUAUUGCACAAUGGGCGGAAGCCUGAUGCAGCAACGCCGCGUGAGGGAUGACGGCCUUCGGGUUGUAAACCUCUUUUAGCAAGGAAGAAGCUUUUGUGACGGUACUUGCAGAAAAAGCGCCGGCUAACUACGUGCCAGCAGCCGCGGUAAUACGUAGGGCGCAAGCGUUAUCCGGAAUUAUUGGGCGUAAAGAGCUCGUAGGCGGUUUGUCGCGUCUGCUGUGAAAUCCCGAGGCUCAACCUCGGGCCUGCAGUGGGUACGGGCAGACUAGAGUGCGGUAGGGGAGAUUGGAAUUCCUGGUGUAGCGGUGGAAUGCGCAGAUAUCAGGAGGAACACCGAUGGCGAAGGCAGAUCUCUGGGCCGUAACUGACGCUGAGGAGCGAAAGGGUGGGGAGCAAACAGGCUUAGAUACCCUGGUAGUCCACCCCGUAAACGUUGGGAACUAGUUGUGGGGUCCUUUCCACGGAUUCCGUGACGCAGCUAACGCAUUAAGUUCCCCGCCUGGGGAGUACGGCCGCAAGGCUAAAACUCAAAGGAAUUGACGGGGACCCGCACAAGCGGCGGAGCAUGCGGAUUAAUUCGAUGCAACGCGAAGAACCUUACCAAGGCUUGACAUACACGAGAACACCCUAGAAAUAGGGGACUCUUUGGACACUCGUGAACAGGUGGUGCAUGGUUGUCGUCAGCUCGUGUCGUGAGAUGUUGGGUUAAGUCCCGCAACGAGCGCAACCCUCGUUCUAUGUUGCCAGCACGUAAUGGUGGGAACUCAUGGGAUAC
rnacentral:rRNA from 1 species